GAGCAAGUGAGUAGCUUGGUGGCAUGUGAUGGUAUUGACACGUUUCUUCUUACACACGUGUUAAGGGUCUUGCUUCCCCAAAUUGCCUGCCACCCACUCACACAUUCUAGAUUCUGAGAUCCAGAGAGAGGGAUUGGAGAAGAGAUGGGAGAGACGGAGUAGGCUGCUGCCAUGUCUUCGACGGCAGCGACGGUGACGAGAUGGAGAGAGGCAGAGUAGGAAGACCUAACGAGGACUGUAACAGUCCACACAAGAAUCGUGGAUGGCAAAUCUGUCGUGAGGUUUCUGCAAAAGCUGCAGCCGGUAGACUGGUAGAGGCGGCGGUGUCGCCGACUCCUCCGCCACGUCAUCCACAGUCGUGAAGAUUGGCACGAUAUCGCAACUUCUUUCCGGAGAUAUUGCCGGACCUUUUAGCAAAACAUGUAUGGCUUCUCUCGCACACCUCACUAUUCGGUUUCAGUUGGCUUUGGAGGUGGUCUUUGAACUCCAGUAAGAGCUAGGCGCAUAAAGUGAAAUUGAAAGAAAAUGUGCAUUGACUGAAAUGAAUGGGAUAUAUUGUUCAACUAGACUUAUGCGAACCAGUGCGGAAACAACAAAGAAGCCUGCAAUCUUCCAAGAAAAAUAUGUUGCACCAAAAGGUAUUGUAUUAUCAUUUGAAUGUGAAUUAUUGUAGGCUAGAUUUAUAUUCUAUUAAGAAAGAAGACAAGUUGUCUAGGUAAGAAUGGGACUAAACUAAAUGGGCAUGUUUAACUUUUUAUUGAUUCGGAGUUACCAAGGAACAUGCUUUUAUACGUAGACAGGCAUUUUGUACACAAAUCUAUGGCUGGUACAAGACCGACUAUUAUAGGAAUUUACAACUUCGGGUCAGACCCGUGGUGAUGGUGUGGUGGAUGCGAGUUCCACACACAUCUAUGGCUGGUACAAGACCGACUAUUAUAGGAAGUUACACCUUCGGGAUAGACCCGUGGUGAGGGUGUGGUGGAUGAGAGUUCCACCGUGACAACAUGAAACCAACCCACAAUUUACAGAUGUAAAAAAGAUUGCACACAACUCCAUGAAUAUCUGCUAAAGUUGGAUGUUUGUUUUUCCCCAUCAAGCAGACAAUUUCACCAUUUAAAUUUAGCAAAAGCUAUUGUUUAAUGCAGUUAUUGGUUGUGAAUCAAAGAUUAAAGCCCUUUAAUUUGUAUGGUGGACGCUUUCAUUCUGCUUGCUAAUGGAUUUUCAAGUGGCUGUGUUUCUUUGGCGUUGUUAACAGAUCUGAGUUGGAACCGCUGCAUGCAUCGGCAGAUUGACAACCGGGAAUGGUGAUAUAUGUUAAUUGGGGAUUUCCGACCAAUUAUGUCAAUUUUAUUAUUUAUGUUGAUAUAUGUUAAUCAGUUGUGUCGAUUAAUUUUAUUAGCAAAUCGAACGAUACUUAAUGAAACCCGCUGUGAAGCAGGUUAUUACCGAUUUUUUGAGUCUGAUUUGAUUU